rnacentral:rRNA from 1 species
UACGUAGGGUGCAGGCGUUAAUCGGAAUUACUGGGCGUAAAGCGUGCGCAGGCGGUCUGUUAAGACCGAUGUGAAAUCCCCGGGCUUAACCUGGGAACUGCAUUGGUGACUGGCAGGCUUUGAGUGUGGCAGAGGGAGGUAGAAUUCCACGUGUAGCAGUGAAAUGCGUAGAGAUGUGGAGGAAUACCGAUGGCGAAGGCACCGCUCUGGCCGAAGACUGACGCUGAGGCGCGAAAGCUGGGGGAGCGAACGGG